rnacentral:lncRNA from 1 species
CUUUGGUAAUGUCACCAGAGACACCUCUCCCCAUUCAGUGAGGCAGCAGGGAAGGGGAGCUCUUAGAACCACAGAAAUUAGAGAGCAGAGGAACCAAAGAGGUCAGCACAUCCAUCAGCGUGACACUCGGGCUGCCUUCUGCAGGGACCUUGUCAGGGAUUUGCUCUCCUCUGUUUUGACUCCAGAAAAAAAAGGACAGACAGAGCUGCUGCGGUUAAGAUGGCAAUACCCUUUGGACAACUGUGGAGCCCAUCUAAUUCUCUGAACCUCAGAACCUGUGAACUCUCCAAACCUCGGCUCGUCCCUUCUCCAGCAGCAAAUCCCCUCACCACUUCCCACGCUCACCUCCACACCUCAUUACCACCUCAAGCGUGAAGACUCAAGAUUACAGCUUUUCUGCAUGGAGUUCAAAUCCCUCCACAAGCUGGUCUGUGUCGACGUCUCUCACUCAGAGUCACGAUGCCAGGGUGCAGAAGGAACAUCGACGGUGCCCUCAGCUCCUGCGCUCUUCCCUGGAGUGUUAAUGCCACCUGAUAGGAAUCUCGGUUCCUGUUCCUGGCUGGGGAAAUCGGGAUCAGCUGUGGUGAGUCAUAGUGUCCCAGACAUUUUCCG